AGAGGUGUUGGAAGCAGAGGGAAGCAGGGAAGGGAAGUUGUCAGUGGCCUUCAGAUAAGAGGACAUUCGACCUUGGCUGAGACCAAGGUCCUCUCUGGAGGCCCCCCCAGCAUGCCAGCACAGCCCCAGGGGAGGCUAUGGAAGUCUCUUUGCCUUCAGCAGCCCCGCUCAGCCAGGGCUGGAUGUUGGGCCUCUCGUUAUCUGCUUAUGCCACAUGGAGGCAAAUCAUGCUGGGCACAGAAGACUUGGCUGGCCUGCAGGAAGCUGGAAGAGCUUCUGUCCCUCUGGGGUCAGAGGUGGCUGGAAUUUGGCAGUCGGGGACAUGGGAACUUCCUGUGACCCUCCCAGAGCUGAGACUGGCAGCAGGAACCAGACAGGGAGCUCGUGGUGGUCAAGAAACGACAGAGAGAUUUGCAUGGCCACUUCCUUCUACAGAGAAGCAUCGGCAGUGGGCUGAGCGAAGGAGUCUCAGAGCCUUCCCUGACCACCAGCCAUGUGAGGCUACCGAGUCCUUGAACUGUGGUUGUUGAGAUGUGCCUGGAGUUGAAACACACCGGACUUCUAAGACUCAGUACAAUGUAAUGUAAAGUAGUUUGUUUGUUUGUUUUGUUUUUCAAGACAACUUUCUCUGUUUAGCCCUGGCUAUUCUGGAUCUCACUCUAUAGACCAGGCUGGCCUUGAACUCAUCUGCGUGUGCCACCACUGUAAAUUACUGACAACUAUUUAACAUUUAUUGAAUGGGCUGGUUUUUUUUUUUUCAAUGUGAUAUAAACCAGAGUUACCUAGGAAGAAGAAACCUCAUCAGAGAAUUGUAUCCAUCAUAUAGGCUCACAGAUAUGCCUAUGGGGACGUUUACAAAAUAAUGAUAGAUGUGGGAGGGCCCAGCCCACUAUGGAUGGUGCCAGCGCUGGGCAUCAGGCCAGUGAGCAACAGUGAUUGCUCCCUCUGCUCUCUCAUGAGUUCUAUCCCCGAAGCCUCUCAAUGAAGGACUGUGGCAUGGAUGUGUAAGCCAAACGAACCCUUCCUCCUCACAUUGCUUUUGGUCAGGGUUUUUCACAGCAUCAGAAUAGUCACUAUAUAUUUAACUGAUUUAUCAAUACAUGUAUAUGUUAGAUAUGUUACACUCAAUAAAGUAUACUCCAAAACUAAA